UGACAUUUCUAACCAUUCAAAUACGAAAUG
rnacentral:piRNA from 1 species